UACAUGGGGUGCAAACGUUGCUCGGAAUUAUUGGGCGUAAAGCGCACGUAGGCGGUUCGUUAAGUCGGAUGUGAAAGCCCUCGGCUCAACUGAGGAAGUGCACCCGAAACUGGCGAGCUUGAGUACGAAAGAGGAUCGCGGAAUUCCCGGUGUAGAGGUGAAAAUUCGUAGAUAUCGGGAGGAACACCGGUGGCGAAGGCGGCGAUCUGGGUCGAUACUGACGCUGAGGUGCGAAAGCGUGGGGAGCAAACAGG
rnacentral:rRNA from 1 species